rnacentral:rRNA from 1 species
CCCUUAGACGCUCUAGGCGGCACGCGCGCUACAAUGGGUGGUAGAACGUGUAACUGCUCCCGAAAGGGAGGGUGAACCACGAAUACUUACCCGUGAAUGGGAUAGUUUGUUGCAAUUUUCGGACUUGAACUAGGAAUCCCUUGUAAGAAUGCUCAAGAAUAGCGUGCUGAAUACGUCCCUGCCGUUUGUACACACCGUCCGUCGUUUCUUCCGACUGAUACUCAUUGUGAGUUGCAAGGAUUCUUAUUGAAAAAUUGCUGCGAAUGCUUUGUAUUGGAGGAAGAAAAAGUCGUAACA